rnacentral:rRNA from 1 species
AUACGAAGGGUGCUAGCGUUGUUCGGAAUUACUGGGCGUAAAGAGCAUGUAGGCGGAUAGAUUAGUCAGAGGUGAAAGCCCCGAGCUCAACUCGGGAACUGCCUUUGAUACUGUUUAUCUAGAGGCCGAGAGAGGUGAGUGGAAUUCUCAGUGUAGAGGUGAAAUUCGUAGAUAUUGGGAAGAACACCAGUGGCGAAGGCGGCUCACUGGCUCGGAACUGACGCUGAGAUGCGAAAGCGUGGGGAGCGAACAGGAUUAGAAACCCCAGUAGUCC